AUUGAACGCUGGCGGCAGGCCUAACACAUGCAAGUCGAACGGUAACAGGAAGAAGCUUGCUUCUUUGCUGACGAGUGGCGGGCGGGUGAGUAAUGUCUGGGAAACUGCCUGAUGGAGGGGGAUAACUACUGGAAACGGUAGCUAAUACCGCAUAACGUCGCAAGACCAAAGAGGGGGACCUUCGGGCCUCUUGCCAUCGGAUGUGCCCAGAUGGGAUUAGCUUGUUGGUGGGGUAACGGCUCACCAAGGCGACGAUCCCUAGCUGGUCUGAGAGGAUGACCAGCCACACUGGAACUGAGACACGGUCCAGACUCCUACGGGAGGCAGCAGUGGGGAAUAUUGCACAAUGGGCGCAAGCCUGAUGCAGCCAUGCCGCGUGUAUGAAGAAGGCCUUCGGGUUGUAAAGUACUUUCAGCGGGGAGGAAGGGAGUAAAGUUAAUACCUUUGCUCAUUGACGUUACCCGCAGAAGAAGCACCGGCUAACUCCGUG
rnacentral:rRNA from 1 species